UUAAGAAGCUGAACUGAAGGGGUUUCAUUGGCGCUUAAUGAAUGCAUAUCAUAAGCGUAUGUCAGAGUCUGAAAUGGAAAAGGCGGAUAUAUUCGACACAGUGGAUGAGAUUGUGGUGCAUUUUGGACCAGAAGAAGCUGUGAAGAUCACGGUGGACAUCCUGAGAAAGAUGAAGCAGAAUGAUCUGGCUGAUCAGCUGGAAAUAAAACAUACGCAAGCUCAGACUGAGAGCCACAUGAAGGCAUCUGUCCCUGUUGGAGCUGAUUUACAACAGAUCUGGGGUAAAUAACAAUUACUAUCUAUACAUGGACAUGAUAAAAUAUAACUGCAAGCAGCAAUUACAAGGCCAAUCACAUCAGCAGCAGAUCUCUGAUCUUGUACAAAUAAAUAUUUGUUAACCUGAUACUCUUUCUAUAGGGACUGUGUCUGUCUUUCUCACACUUCAAACAUUGCCCAUCUAAAUAUAUCACAGGUAGCACUGUCACCAAAUUGAUUUGGUCUCAUCAAGGCAUGAUUACACAUACAAAUUAAAAGGUUAAUUUAAGUAGGACAAAACAUGCUGAAAAUACAGCCUCACAUCCUGUUUGGUGUGCUAGAUGUCAGUGGUUUAACUAGGGCAGGGGUCGAUUGCUACGGCCCUGCCCUGUAACAAAACUAAAUGUAUAACUUUAGCUAUAUACUGUCUUAUCUUCAUUUUAGGGAUCAAAGGUUUUGUGAAUGUUGAUGUUUUGAUAUUGAAGUUUGCAAACCCCUGAUCUAGGCUGACCAUAUUUUCGUUUUUCAAAAAGAGGACAGUUGGUGCAGGAGGAAGGGGUGGGGAUUGGUGGUUUAAACAUCACCCAAAGUAGCACAUUGCCCAUAUCCAAAGUUACCCAGCCCAAAUCCUGAAAAUGUAAUUUCCAUACCUAAAAUACAUAUUUUACAGUCACUGUUAUGCAUAUUGAUCAUAAACAGCUAAACUGCUUCCUACCAGUGGCCUUCCUUCACAAAAGAUAACAUCUCGCUGUCACAGUUGGUAAAACUGUAAAAUGCUUCAUACCAGUGGCCUUCCUUCACAAACUAUCAACUCUCAACAUUCCUGUAGUCCCUGCUGUUCAUCUUCUUUCACUUGCAUCUCUUAAUGAAUCUACUAUCAUUAACUUGCACUUGCUUCCUCACCCUCAUUGCCAUUAUACUCGCACAGUUUUAUCAUAGGUGGAAUGAAAAUUGGCAUUCCAUGAUCUGAAUAUACGUGCGAUUAUUAGCAGAAUUAAAUUAUACCCUGUGUCAUGUACUCGCAGGGACAGUAUGCUUGGAAAGAAUAUUUCACCUCUUCGAAUGCAUUUAUUAUUUGUAGAACACCAGCCAACAUACAAUAGCAUAUAUAAUAGCAGGGGUAAUAUAACGCUGCUAAAAAGAACAUUAUUUGGUGUAAUGUGUUUAUGCGGUUAAAGGUAAAAAAAAAACACACUAUUUUCGACAUACUGGACAUAAUUAUUUCUUCUCAAUUUCCCGCCUUCUGUAACACAUUGAUUUUUCCAAGCCUCAUCAUUCUGAAAAGCGAGGAGUGCUGUUAUUGGCCAGCUAUCGAGUGCGUUGUGAUUGGCUGAACACCUCAAGCGUGUGAUGGAAAUGUUACGCAACUUAACACUCCAAAUAGAAAGAAAAAAUUAAAAUCACAUCAUAUGACCCCUUUAAUGAACAAAAACAGAAUCUCAUCUUUAAAAUUCUCAAAUUUUUAUAACAAAAUAGGCUACUGUGUCUGCAAGGACAUUCAAUAGGUGGCCUUCCAAAACGCCAGCUCUACCAACGCACGUACUGCCGCCGGAGCGUCUGUAAAGUGCAUUUGCAGCUUUUGACCGCUGAGUGGAGCUUUAACCACAAGUUUUUAAAAAAACAAGCGCAUCAAAGCACAUUUUCACAAAUACACAUCAGUUUUGACUCGCCGAUGUGUUACAUUUGAUGGCUUCAGUCACGGAAAAUGAAAGAAAAACACUGUAGUUCAAAUAUUUAAUAUUUAAUAUUCACAGAUGAAAGUUUGGUAUUUAUGAAGUUAUGUGUAUUUCUUAGAAUGAAUUCAAGCAGGAUAAAUGUCAAGCCUGUGCCUGAACCUGUGAUUAUAUUUUCUCUAAGCUACAUGGUAUUAAACCAUAUUUUAGAUUUGACACAUUUAAAAGGUGUGCAGUAUUAUUUAUAUUAUAUGAAUUAUGUGUUAUAUUAUUCAAAAGAAAUUGUGGUUUACUUUGCAUCUGAGCAUUAAAUGUGAUAGCCUAUUUUAAGGGGUAAGGCUACAUGGAUUAAUAUGCAAAAUGUCAAUAUUUUCAUAUAUUAUGCCUUUAUUUUAAUUCAUAUUUAAAAUUCCUUUAAUAAAACAACAUGCAUUUUUGUUAUUCGUUACCUGUCCUUUAUUUUGACAGGAAAAAUACAUUUGUCUGUACAAUGAUUAAGAAAUUGUUGCAUGUUUAGUAAAAUGUGAAGCACUGUAUAAUUUCAUUCCCAUUAUUUAGGGAUAAUUAGCCUAAAACAAGAAACGAAUAAAUUAAACCUGCAAAACCAGCUAAAUGUUUGAAACUCUAAAGAAUGUAUGGAUUAUUAAAAUGUCCUCAAAAUUAAACUCAAGUUCUCACAUUAUAAUCAACAAAAUGCAAACAAUGUAAAAAAGAGAUUUAUUAAUUGACAACUUAAGUGAUUUUAAAGGGAGCCUUCUUUACUUGCUAUUAGUGCUGGGCAAAAGCAUAUGGCCUAAAAUAUCUGAUUUAUGAUUUAAAUCGAUUUUAAAAUAAAUAUUCAAAUGACAAAGACAUUAUUAUAUAGUUCUUUAUCAUUCAUUUACUAUUCAAAUGUAUAACUGAAACAAGAUGAUAAAAAAAAAAACAGUAAUGUUAUUACCUUAAAGUGGUGAGUGGGGCGGGGCCCAGGGCCAUGGGAAUGGAGCGAGGCCAGUGGAGUGAUUGGAAAUGAGCAACACCUGCUCGACCCACCGGUCUCGCGUCCCACGGAGGAGAUGGAAAGAUAUAAAACAGGAGCGAUGACAUUGAAGGAUGAGAGAGGACCAGGCCUGGAUUUAUUUUGUUUUUGACUUUGUUUCUGUUUUGUGUUUAUUUUGAUUAUUAAAGUGAUUUUGAUUAUCUGCCGGUCUCCGCCUCCUUAUUCCCGAUGAUUAUGAAGUUUGUAAUGCGUUAAACUGGUGCCGAGGGACGCCAUGGGCAAGUGUGCUGCCAUGGACACUCGAGCGGGGUGGGCUGGAGUAAGUUGCCGGGGACGGACAAGCUCACUGCCGGCCGCCCGCACUGUGGAGGAGCGACUGCUGUCCGUGAGGAAGCAGAGGAGUCUGCGCCAUUCGCCAGAGAGCCGGAGCCUGCUGCCGUCCACCUGAACGGGGAGGAGCAGG
ensembl:lncRNA